UUCAAGGGGAGAUCAUUACAAUUUUGUAUUUAAUUUAUGGAUGACAUGAUUUUGACCUUGUGACCGCAGCUCCUCUUGAACCGUUUGGUGGUUUUUAAUAAAAGACCAUACAAUGGUACCACAUCACAUGAAGAUGUGCUUAAGGUAAAAUAAUUCUGAUCCAGCAUCUUCAAGGGGAGAUCAUUAGAAUUUGUACAUCACAUGAU